AUUGAACGCUGGCGGCAGGCCUAACACAUGCAAGUCGAGCGGAUGAAGGGAGCUUGCUCCUGGAUUCAGCGGCGGACGGGUGAGUAAUGCCUAGGAAUCUGCCUGGUAGUGGGGGAUAACGUCCGGAAACGGGCGCUAAUACCGCAUACGUCCUGAGGGAGAAAGUGGGGGAUCUUCGGACCUCACGCUAUCAGAUGAGCCUAGGUCGGAUUAGCUAGUUGGUGGGGUAAAGGCCUACCAAGGCGACGAUCCGUAACUGGUCUGAGAGGAUGAACAGUCACACUGGAACUGAGACACGGUCCAGACUCCUACGGGAGGCAGCAGUGGGGAAUAUUGGGCAAUGGGCGAAAGCCUGAUCCAGCCAUGCCGCGUGUGUGAAGAAGGUCUUCGGAUUGUAAAGCACUUUAAGUUGGGAGGAAGGGCAGUAAGUUAAUACCUUGCUGUUUUGACGUUACCAACAGAAUAAGCACCGGCUAACUUCGUG
rnacentral:rRNA from 1 species